UCGAAAUUAGGAUUCCGAAACACGUUUUUCUACGGUGGGUUCAUUCGACAGCGAUUUACUUUCUUAGAAGUUGCGAGACGGUAUGUUUUUGAUUGCAAUUAUUGGAAGAUGACAGAUCCAUCUUUAAAAUGAUACCAGGUUCGGAAAAAUUGAUACGUCGGAAAGGCAAGAAAAAUGCUGUGAAAGUUGUCAGUUUUAUAAUGGGACCCUAUGGGAAUCGGAAUUAGUGUAAUAUAACCUUUAAAAAGCACAUUUACUGCAAUGUCAAGGUCACAUGGAUUCGUCUGCAAGCGAGACAAGUAGAAAAUGAAUUUUUAAUGAAUGUUUUGAUGAUUUGGGUGCUAAAAUAGAUGAGAGGUGUCAAUAUUUUGGUCCAAAUGGAUGUUUUAGGUGGUUUUAGAUGGUUCCGGAUGGGUGGGGGACCUGGUAUGGACAAGUAAGGGUAACAUUUCCAACAAAUCUUAAAUGUAAAUAUUAUUAUGUCCAUAGAUUGAAGUUUCAGGUGGAGAGCAAGAUGAAAAAUAUGCAAAAUUACAUGCAUGCAACCCAUUUAUGCCAUUUUUCUCUUUGUUUGUAGGCCUGACCGUUUGUCCUUGAGCCGUAGAUGGUCAACAAUCCGCUAGCUGUCUUGCUCUGACUGGUGCACUGGACACGAUUUCAAUAGUCAGCCAGACCAUGAUUGAGCUUAAGGAUUGUGCUGCGGAUGCAGCCUGUGCAGUUCCGGGAGAAAGUCACUGUCUCGGGAAAUGCGGUCUGGUAUCAGGUCUGGAUGAUCCUUGCCUGACUGCGGGUUUGUGUACACCUCAAUCCGACUCUGUGUCCUGAACAGAGGCCGCAGUGGUGCAGCGCUUGUGGACGAUCCAUCAACAUCCUGAAAGGUCAACACUACACCAAGCUGGGAAAAUUGAUCCUGAUAGUCAUCCCCAGGUAGUGGAAUGAAUGUUCACUGAACUACAGAGGAAUCACACCCAAAUGACUUUCCUGCCACGACAUUAGUGUGGCCACUCGCGUAGGAAUUCCUUAGCAAACAUGCUUUUUUGCAUGGUGACUGUGGACAUUUUUGCAAAACUUACGCUUUCAACACUGGAUUUUAAAGAGAAUACUUAAUAAAAUGUCGCUAACAGGACUUAUUUAUAUGAGAGAGACUAUCUGAAUGCGCAUUAAGUGUCACUUUGUGUCGUAAGCUGUUGAAGGAGCGAUUUGCGCCUUUUUAAGUGUUAAUUUUGGGUAGCCGGCUUGUAUCAGCUUGAAAGCUGAAAAUUAUGCCUCUCAUCAUAAUAGCAUUAAUUUUUGUAAUUGCAAUGUGUAUGUUUAGAUUGUAAGUGAAGCUUUUAAUAAUAAUUUUCUUAAAAAACAUGAUUUUAUAUGCUGUCAGUGAGUUUUUUAUUGAAAAAAGUGCUUAAAAUUUAAAAAAAGUCUCCUAUUUCAUCAAGAAAAGUACACUGAUUCACAAUCAAUACAUUUAUUUGGGCUUUUUGCUGAUAUAUUGGUGAAUUUCGCAUGCAAUGAUACCAGUUUUUGCCAUGAAAGUUACGCGUAACAAUAAUUGGAGACGAAAAAUCAGCUGUCGUCACUUAGACUAAAAAUCAUGCAUUCCGACUUGACUGCGGCCAAUUUAGUCACCGCUUUAAAUGGCCAUUUUAAGGCCUUUACCCCCAUCCGAAUGCACUGAAAUUGCAUAUUCAUUGUGGAAAUAGUUGAAAUCUCAUGUGGAGAAAGUUUGAAAAAGAUAGGACAAAGUUGAGUUCCCUUAAAGGUUACAUUACACUAAAUCAUUGUGUAUCCCUCCGUGGUCCAUUCGAAAGUAGUGCCUAUUUGUAAAGAGUUCCUUUUCUCUUCUUGAAUAUAAGCCAUUUAACAAUGUGAGACAUGACUUUUGUGGUUAUUUGUAAUAUCCUGUAUGUGUCUGGAGUACUUUGAUGCCUUGGAUUGGAAGCUAACUUAAAAGAUGAACUUUUGAGGGUGUGUUUUCUAUUGUGUGGGGCUUUUGUCGAAAUUAGGAUUCCGAAACACGUUUUUCUACGGUGGGUUCAUUCGACAGCGAUUUACUUUCUUAGAAGUUGCGAGACGGUAUGUUUUUGAUUGCAAUUAUUGGAAGAUGACAGAUCCAUCUUUAAAAUGAUACCAGGUUCGGAAAAAUUGAUACGUCGGAAAGGCAAGAAAAAUGCUGUGAAAGUUGUCAGUUUUAUAAUGGGACCCUAUGGGAAUCGGAAUUAGUGUAAUAUAA